rnacentral:snRNA from 1 species
AUACCUUUCUCGGCCUUUUGGCUAAGAUCAAGUGUAGUAUCGGCAAAAUUGGUAAAUCUGACCUUAAAACGAAAGUAUCUGUUUUUAAUCAGUUUAAUGUCUGAUAUGUGGACCAUGUGCCUAUAACGAUAUUAAAUUUAUUUCUUUUGGGGAAAGGCCCACCACAGUGGCUUGCCACUUGGGCCUUCAUGUGUCGCCCGGGCGUUGCACUGCUGCCCGGGCCCGGCGCGCCACAA